rnacentral:rRNA from 1 species
GACAAACGCUGGCGGCGUGCCUAACACAUGCAAGUCGAGCGCGAAAGGGACCUUCGGGUCCCCUGAGAGCGGCGAACGGGUGAGUAACACGUGGGCAACCUGCCUCAAGGACUGGGAUAACUCCGGGAAACCGGGGCUAAUACCGGGCGAUGUCGAUUCGCGCAAGCGGUUCGACCAAAUGGUAGCUUCGGCCUCCGCCUUGAGAUGGGCCCGCGUCCUAUCAGCUUGUUGGUGAGGUAACGGCUCACCAAGGCUACGACGGGUAGCUGGUCUGAGAGGAUGAUCAGCCACACUGGGACUGAGAUACGGCCCAGACUCCUACGGGUGGCUG